rnacentral:rRNA from 1 species
UGAGUAACCUGCCCCUGACUCUGGGAUAAGCGUUGGAAACGACGUCUAAUACUGGAUAUGAUCACUGGCCGCAUGGUCUGGUGGUGGAAAGAUUUUUUGGUUGGGGAUGGACUCGCGGCCUAUCAGCUUGUUGGUGAGGUAAUGGCUCACCAAGGCGACGACGGGUAGCCGGCCUGAGAGGGUGACCGGCCACACUGGGACUGAGACACGGCCCAGACUCCUACGGGAGGCAGCAGUGGGGAAUAUUGCACAAUGGGCGAAAGCCUGAUGCAGCAACGCCGCGUGAGGGAUGACGGCCUUCGGGUUGUAAACCUCUUUUAGUAGGGAAGAAGCGAAAGUGACGGUACCUGCAGAAAAAGCACCGGCUAACUACGUGCCAGCAGCCGCGGUAAUACGUAGGGUGCAAGCGUUGUCCGGAAUUAUUGGGCGUAAAGAGCUCGUAGGCGGUUUGUCGCGUCUGCUGUGAAAUCCCGAGGCUCAACCUCGGGCUUGCAGUGGGUACGGGCAGACUAGAGUGCGGUAGGGGAGAUUGGAAUUCCUGGUGUAGCGGUGGAAUGCGCAGAUAUCAGGAGGAACACCGAUGGCGAAGGCAGAUCUCUGGGCCGUAACUGACGCUGAGGAGCGAAAGCAUGGGGAGCGAACAGGAUUAGAUACCCUGGUAGUCCAUGCCGUAAACGUUGGGCGCUAGAUGUAGGGACCUUUCCACGGUUUCUGUGUCGUAGCUAACGCAUUAAGCGCCCCGCCUGGGGAGUACGGCCGCAAGGCUAAAACUCAAAGGAAUUGACGGGGGCCCGCACAAGCGGCGGAGCAUGCGGAUUAAUUCGAUGCAACGCGAAGAACCUUACCAAGGCUUGACAUACACCGGAAACGGCCAGAGAUGGUCGCCCCCUUGUGGUCGGUGUACAGGUGGUGCAUGGUUGUCGUCAGCUCGUGUCGUGAGAUGUUGGGUUAAGUCCCGCAACGAGCGCAACCCUCGUUCUAUGUUGCCAGCGGGUUAUGCCGGGGACUCAUAGGAGACUGCCGGGGUCAACUCGGAGGAAGGUGGGGAUGACGUCAAAUCAUCAUGCCCCUUAUGUCUUGGGCUUCACGCAUGCUACAAUGGCCGGUACAAAGGGCUGCGAUACCGUAAGGUGGAGCGAAUCCCAAAAAGCCGGUCUCAGUUCGGAUUGAGGUCUGCAACUCGACCUCAUGAAGUCGGAGUCGCUAGUAAUCGCAGAUCAGCAACGCUGCGGUGAAUACGUUCCCGGGCCUUGUACACACCGCCCGUCAAGUCAUGAAAGUCGGUAACACCCGAA